AACGAACGCUGGCGGCAGGCUUAACACAUGCAAGUCGAACGCAUCCUUCGGGGUGAGUGGCAGACGGGUGAGUAACACGUGGGAACGUACCUUUCAGUUCGGAAUAACCCAGGGGAAACUUGGGCUAAGACCGGAUACGCCCUUUUGGGGGAAAGAUUUAUCGCUGAGAGAUCGGCCCGCGUCUGAUUAGCUAGUUGGUGAGGUAAAGGCUCACCAAGGCGACGAUCAGUAGCUGGUCUGAGAGGAUGAUCAGCCACAUUGGGACUGAGACACGGCCCAAACUCCUACGGGAGGCAG
rnacentral:rRNA from 1 species